CGUCUAAAUUGUCGGGACAACGUC
rnacentral:piRNA from 1 species